GGAGACGUGGCCGAACGGUAAGGCAACGGACUCGAAAUCCGUCGAGCGGGUCAAACCGUGAGCAGGUUCAACUCCUGUCGUCUCCU
rnacentral:tRNA from 1 species